rnacentral:rRNA from 1 species
GACAGAGGUGCCAAGCGUUAGGCGGAAUCACUGGGCUUAAAGCGUGUGUAGGCGGAUGCCUAAGUACCUUGUGAAAUCCCACGGCUCAACCGUGGAACUGCUUGGUAUACUGGGUGUCUUGAGCCAUCUAGGGGCUACCGGAACAAAUGGUGAGCGGUGAAAUGCGUAGAUAUCAUUUGGAACGCCAAUGGUGAAAACAGGUAGCUGGGGAUGUGCUGACGCUGAGACACGAAAGCCAGGGGAGCAAACGGG